ACGUUAGCGGCGGACGGGUGAGUAACACGUGGGUAACCUACCUAUAAGACUGGGAUAACUUCGGGAAACCGGAGCUAAUACCGGAUAAUAUUUCGAACCGCAUGGUUCGAUAGUGAAAGAUGGUUUUGCUAUCACUUAUAGAUGGACCCGCGCCGUAUUAGCUAGUUGGUAAGGUAACGGCUUACCAAGGCGACGAUACGUAGCCGACCUGAGAGGGUGAUCGGCCACACUGGAACUGAGACACGGUCCAG
rnacentral:rRNA from 1 species